CUUCUCUCCAGAGAAGUCUAUCUCUGUCUCUCUCUUAAACAAAACUUGCUUUCUAUGCCUGCCUCAGUGUUUCUCGGAUGUCUACUCUUCAACACCAGGGGAGCGAGGACCUGACCCUGAUUUCCAAGACUGUCACUAUCAGACAGAACCAGCAAGGCAGCUUGAGUCAGAGAGGUGGCAAUGGAGGUGAUAAGCUGCAUUGGAUUCUGGACACGUUUCAAAGGUGGAACCAACAGCCUUUGGUGAAAAGGUGAUAUUCAAGAGCAACAGUAAGUACCUGCAUCCCCUCACCCACCAGAGUUUGAGCUGAGCAGAGGAGGCCUGUGGGGCAGGGCCCUGGAAAUGAGGGACUCAGUUUGGGAUGUGAGCUCCCCAAAAAGAAACAAGAAGGCAGAAGGAUAAAUGCCUGGAGCUGAGCAGCCAGGCUCCCUGGGUUCUCAUUUCAUCCCUCCUGCAAAGCUCAGGGCACACAUUCACUGUUUGCUCGUGAGUUAAAGAAAACUUUGACAACGACCUAGCCUAGGAGCACGUUAUUUGGGAGCCUUAGAGAUUCCACCAUGGAUGGUGGCCCUGGCUCUGGCAGGUACAGACCCACUAGGAGGAUCAGGGCUCCUGGCCCAGGAGGAGCCAGUUGCUGGAUUUGUAAAAGGAAUCCCAGGGACUAGGGAGAUGGACCCUCUCACUCCCAAAAGAAGGAUCAAUGCACCCACUUACAAAUUUACCAGGCAUCAACCACCCACCCAGGAGCAAGGUACCCCACGCGGAGGACCUCUCUCUGUUUUUUCAUAGCAGGGGCUAUUUGUGGAAGUCUCUGUAUCCUGGUUUCUUCACCGAUCUGCGUGUUUUAUGUGAGGAAUCUUUUUUUUUUUUUCCCAAGAGACAACAGUGGGUGAAAAUUGUCACCCUUUGAAUCUGAGCCCUUAGCUGUCAGCCAGUCACAGAGACAUACAAGAAGAUUCAAUUCAGAAAGAUGGUCCACAACCCUUCGAGGGUCAAUAUGUCUCUCCAUUUUUAAAGGCUCAUCUGUUUUUAUUGAUUAGUAGAUCCAAUCAGUCACUUAUAUAAGAAUGCUAAAAAGUGGGGGAAGCUUCCUAACGUUUUACAUUUAAUUAUGCCUACUCUUGAAGAGCAAUUCCAGUGCUCUCCAUGGGAGGGAUUCCAUCUCAGACAGGAGCAAACACAAUUGGAACCACCACCAGCCAACCGUGAAUUUAGAGGUUGUUGCUAAGCUACAGGAAAAUAAGUCAGGUGAUGCGAUUUCACACAGUCAGGAGUUAAAAGAAAAAGGCUCCAAGAAGCCCAAAUAUUAAAAUCUUUAAACAAGACUUAAACAUUGUUAAUGGUACUCUAAAACCACAGG
rnacentral:lncRNA from 1 species